UGGUAAUUGGAGAGCAGACGGCUGUUGGCAGAAACAACCUAUCAUAUCCCAGGACUUCUAGCAAAAAAGAUAUGAAUUGCUGCAUCUCGUCCUACUUGACGGCUCCAUUGGCAGAUUGCACUGUUAGAGAGCUAUGGAGAGAAAAGAUGUUUGGAUCAUAAACCCGAGGAAAAUCUAGGAAAACCACAGAGGUAUAAUGAAACAGCACUGUAAGAGAUUGGCUAUCAAGGAUUGAGUUUCUUGAAGAAACAUCAGGGAAUUAUUAUUUUCCAUUUCUGGAAAAACACAAAGAAUAGUAACAACAUCGAAGGGAAAACACAUUUUCAUCACCAUCCUCCCCGGUCAUUGUUUGUGAAUGGCAGCGUGAAGUCUGGGUUUGUCAUAGCCUCCUGGAAACAGUAUUUUGAUAGGUCUACAAUAAAAAAGCAACCACCUGUAGGCAAUGGAGU
rnacentral:lncRNA from 1 species